UACGUAGGGUGCAAGCGUUAAUCGGAAUUACUGGGCGUAAAGCGUGCGCAGGCGGUUAUGCAAGACAGAUGUGAAAUCCCCGGGCUCAACCUGGGAACUGCAUUUGUGACUGCAUGGCUAGAGUACGGUAGAGGGGGAUGGAAUUCCGCGUGUAGCAGUGAAAUGCGUAGAGAUGUGGAGGAACACCGAUGGCGAAGGCAGCCUCCUGGGCCAGCACUGACGCUCAUGCACGAAAGCGUGGGGAGCAAACAGG
rnacentral:rRNA from 1 species